GUUGUACUGGCCUCCUUUCUGGCCCUUCCCAUCAGCCGGGAAGCCUGGAUCGUGGGCUGGGGGAAGCCGUAGCUGCUCCCACCUGGCUCCCACUGCCCCUGGCCGCUAGGCACCUGCUCUGGGCCCUGGAUCCUUUAAAACCGACAGCAAAACCCUAGAAGAUUGCAUCCCGGUGUGUGAACAGCCUUGCAGGGGAAAACAAAACCAAAAAAAUAGAUCCGAAUCACCAUAAAGCAAGUUACUUCUCUCCAUGUUCCCUUCUGAGCUCGCGGCAACACUGGUUUCCAUAGACAUCAUUUCGCUUAAAGUCACAGUUUCCAGACCCUAUCGGCGAUGUUAAAUGAGAACCUGCUGCGCUGAGCUACCGCACACCCCAUGCCAGCUCCGGCUCUAAGCUUUCUCUACAGAAACUCGAAUCCUGCCUCUGUCACAAGAACACACUUGGUUAGCCUGCUGGAAGGGAGUCAUCCCAGCUGAGGCACCCGAGACCAGCCAGCACUCUGCCAGCCUACCAGCGUGAGUGAGCCCAGGCUAGAUCAGCCUAGCCCAGCCCAGCCCAGCCCAGCCCAGAGCCAGAUUUCACACUGAGCAGCUGCAGACGGAGAAAUCAGAGAAAGCACAACCAGCCUCGGAUUCCGACGGGCCUGCCGGGCGCUCCGCCUGCUCCGGAGGGAAGCCCUGAGGCCGCUCUUUCGGGCCAGGUCUCCGCUGCCAUGGAACCCGCAGCCGCCACCCCCCGGCUGCCCUCCGCACUGCCGGGCAGAUAAGGGUGGCGCUGCCCCGGGGAGCACCUGCGACCCUGCCAGGCCAUCCUCCCUGGCCAGCCCUUCUUCCGCUUUGGGCCACCUGUGCUGACCUGAUGCCAUGUAGGCCCCCUCGGGCCUCUGGGGACAGACACACCACCGGGGACGCCGCCUCUGCAGCCUGGGGGACCCUGCGCACCACCAUGCCCCGGGGAUUCGCCUGGCUCCACUAUCUCGGCAUCCUCCUUGGCAUGGCUUUGGGGAACCAGGACCUGGAGGUGUGGCCCCUGACGCAGAGCAAGGAGUGCGCCCUCACCGGCAUCCUGCGGGACAGGCUGCAGUACGGGAACCGCCUUCAGUACAUGGUAACCCGGUGGCCCCCGCCGUGGCC